GUGGACGUAGUGUACGGCGCACCGCUGGAUUCCAUAGCCGGUUCUCAUCGAUGGAAUCAGUUAGCCGGGGUUCGAUUCCCCGCGUCCGCA